GUGGUCAGGGCAGUUCUUGCUGAGCCUCAGGUGUACAUGAAUACACACCCUCCCUCAGAAGUAUCUUCUAUGCCUGAGCUUCCCACUGUGGAAUGCAGAUAAGUCAGAGCUGGUUGGAAGCAGGGACAGUGAGUCAAAGUCAGGCGCUGUAUUCCUCAUCCUGUUGUUUCAUCUCUAGGCAAGGUCCAUGCCUGCAUUUCAGAUGCGCACCGUGAACUGUGUGGAAGUCGUCUGACCCAAGACAGUCGUGCCAACAGGCCCCGCCUCCCUCUUCUUGUUACCUUUUUCACAACUUCUCAACUUCCCCCAAGACUUGGGUCAUUUCUGCUUCCUCCUAGCAUUUCCAUCCAUUCUCUUCUGGAGUGCAUUCUGUGGAGAGUCCCGUGUGUGUUUAUAUGGGGCUGGUCUGCAAUUCUUUCUUCUCUUUGUUCAUUCUCUGACCGAACCAAAUCACUGAGGCAGCAACAGCCUGGCAUCUCAUUCUGAUGUCCCAUCUGAUAUCUCCAAUGGCGCCAUGGGCCUGGCUAAGCCUGCAUGUUGACCUGAGUGGCAAAAGGAGCCAUGUGGAUUCUGGCCUUCCUCUGGAAACACUUCACAGUUCAUGGGAAUAUUCCAUCCCGAGACGGAGAUGCUGAUGGUGGAGUCAGAGCCUAAGCGGGAAUGUUGCACCUUCCCUGGACCUCUGUUUCUUCUGCAUAGGAAGGAUCUUGGGUUAGAGGAUGAUGAACAGAUCAAGUUAAAACCCUAGUUGUAUGGCCCAGUGAGCCCUCUGACUUUCUGUCCCUGACGAGGCUGAUACCAUCUCAGAGGCUCCCCUGGGCAUCUGCUCAAUGACUGGCAGAAAGAGGCACCUACCUUCCUCAAGCCGAAGCAGAAGCAGCUUCACCCCCAACACAGGCCAGGAAAAGAAGAGAUGUCAUCCCCUGCUGCCUACAGAGACCAAAACCUGGUCUCAGAGGGGGUUCUGAGAGUGACAUUAGCCUCCAGCUGCACUGUGACCAGCACAGAGGCAGGGAGAGGGCUCAGACACUUUGUCACCCCAGUACCUCUUCCCCCUCCCCCUUCUGUCCCAUCCUCUUUGAAGAUCCAGUGAAGAGAAGAGGCUUAGGGUCUUAUCCUAGGAACCACAGGAAAGGACAGUUUUAAUUCACUCAUCGUUAAAAACUCACACUUUGAGUGUUCUGUCUAUUUCCAGAGCUGUUCAUCAGAAAGGAAAACCCAGUCAAUGAAUGUGGGCAUUGUAUUGUGCCAGUUAAGGCAAGAGUCCUCAGCAUUAGCAACUGCAAAACGUAGAAUUCUCGACCCAUCUCAAGGCCAGCUUGAGCUGUGUUUAAGGAUGUGGGGAGAAUAAAAGGCUUGUGAGAAGAAGCCUGUCUGUCACCUCCUGGAUUGCUCUUGGGCACAGGACCCUCGGCAGUUUAUUCAUCUGUGUGCCAAGCAUGUAUGAAACAGUUUCUAUGGACCAGGCACUGUGCUACAAUCCAUGUCUCAGAUACAUUUGCACAUUAAGGCUCAUUACAGUACCAGUCACAAUAGCUAAGUUAUGGAACCAACCUAGGUGUCCAACAGCUGAGGAAAGGGUAAAGAAAAUUGGGUAGGGACUGGACAGAUGGUCCGGCGGUUAAGAUCACUGACUGUUCUUCCAGGGGGCCCGUGUUUGAUACCCAGCACCGACAUGGCAAGUCACAAACAUCCAUAACUCCAGUUCCAGAAGAUCCAAUGCUUUUUCUGACCUCCAGUGGCUCUGGGCACACAUGUGAUGCCCAUAUACACAUAUGGGCAAGACACUCAUACACAUAAAACAAAAAUAAACAAAUCUGUAAAAAGAAAGAAAAUGGAUCAUAUAUACACAACGGAAUUUUUGCAGCCACAAGGAAAAAUAAAGCUACAUCAUUUGAAGAAAAAUGGAUACACAUAAAAGCAACCAUAUGAAGCAAAUUAAGCCAGUCCCAGAAGAUCAAUAUAUGUUUUUUCAUUCGUGAUCCCUAGAUCUUAUAUUGAUACACCGUUGUGUAUGUAUACAUGACAUGGAGUAAAAGUGAGACACAUAUGGACAAAUGGUGGCAUCUUAGUCAGAGUUUCUAUUGCCGUGAAGUACGCCAUGACUGUGGCAACUCAUAUAAAGGAAAACAUUUCAUGGAGUGGCUUACAGUCUCAGAAGUUGGUUCAUUAUCAUCAUGGUGGGACAUGGCAGCAUGCAGGCAGACAUGGUGUGGGAAAAGGAACUGAAUGUUCUACAUCUUGAUCUACAGGAAGCAGAAGGAGACUGUGUGCCAUACUGGGCAUAGCUUAAGCAUAUCAGACCUCAGAGUCCGCCCCUACAGUGAUGCACUUCCUCCAACAAAGCCACGCCUACUUCAACAAGGCCACAACUCAUAAUAAUGCUACUCCCUGUGGGCCGAGCAUUCAAACACAUGAAUCUAUGGGGGCCAUUCCUAUUCAAACCACCACAGGUGGUAGGGAAAGGGAAGAUACGGGAAACAAGAUAGUAUACUCAAAAUAUAACACAUACUUGUAGUGAAAUUUUAAAAAGAAAUUGAUUAAAAUAAAAAUGUUUAAUGGAGAACAAGA